rnacentral:rRNA from 1 species
GACGAACGCUGCGGCGUGCCUAAUACAUGCAAGUCGAACGAGAGCGACCGGUGCUUGCACUGGUCAAUCUAGUGGCGAACGGGUGAGUAACACGUGGGUAACCUGCCCAUCAGAGGGGGAUAACAUUCGAAACGGAUGCUAAAACCGCAUAGGUCCUUUAACCGCAUGGUUGAAGGAGGAAAAGAGGCGCAAGCUUCUGCUGAUGGAUGGACCCGCGGUGCAUUAGCUAGUUGGUAGGUAACGGCUCACCAAGGCCGUGAUGAUAGCCGACCUGAGAGGGUGAUCGGCCACAUUGGGACUGAGACACGGCCCAAACUCCUACGGGAGGCAGCAGUAGGGAAUCUUCCGCAAUGGACGCAAGUCUGACGGAGCAACGCCGCGUGAGUGGAGAAGGUUUUCGGAUCGUAAAACUCUGUUGUUAGAGAAGAACAAGUGCUAGAGUAACUGUUAGCGCCUUGACGGUAUCUAGCCAGAG